AUACAUGCAGUCGAACGAACUCUGGUAUUGAUUGGUGCUUGCAUCAUGAUUUACAUUUGAGUGAGUGGCGAACUGGUGAGUAACACGUGGGAAACCUGCCCAGAAGCGGGGGAUAACACCUGGAAACAGAUGCUAAUACCGCAUAACAACUUGGACCGCAUGGUCCGAGCUUGAAAGAUGGCUUCGGCUAUCACUUUUGGAUGGUCCCGCGGCGUAUUAGCUAGAUGGUGGGGUAACGGCUCACCAUGGCAAUGAUACGUAGCCGACCUGAGAGGGUAAUCGGCCACAUUGGGACUGAGACACGGCCCAAACUCCUACGGGAGGCAGCAGUAGGGAAUCUUCCACAAUGGACGAAAGUCUGAUGGAGCAACGCCGCGUGAGUGAAGAAGGGUUUCGGCUCGUAAAACUCUGUUGUUAAAGAAGAACAUAUCUGAGAGUAACUGUUCAGGUAUUGACGGUAUUUAACCAGAAAGCCACGGCUAACUACGUGCCAGCAGCCGCGGUAAUACGUAGGUGGCAAGCGUUGUCCGGAUUUAUUGGGCGUAAAGCGAGCGCAGGCGGUUUUUUAAGUCUGAUGUGAAAGCCUUCGGCUCAACCGAAGAAGUGCAUCGGAAACUGGGAGACUUGAGUGCAGAAGAGGACAGUGGAACUCCAUGUGUAGCGGUGAAAUGCGUAGAUAUAUGGAAGAACACCAGUGGCGAAGGCGGCUGUCUGGUCUGUAACUGACGCUGAGGCUCGAAAGUAUGGGUAGCAAACAGGAUUAGAUACCCUGGGUAGUCCAUACCGUAAACGAUGAAUGCUA
rnacentral:rRNA from 2 species